CUGGCCCUGAAUCAAGGCCAGCAGCUUCCUGAUGCUGUUGGUUUCAAGCAGGAGCCUAAAGAGAUGUCUUUCUAUGGUUUAUUGGCCAUUUCAGAACUUGGGCAGUGAAAUAUUCAAUUCAUUAGGAAAAAACAGCU
ensembl:snoRNA small nucleolar RNA SNORA2/SNORA34 family